GUCAGAGCUGCUGCUUAGCACAUACUCGUUAGCUUGCACUGUUUGAGGCUCCCCACAAUAUUCGGGGGGGGGGGGGACAGCGAUCAUUUGGUAUGAGAAAAUGAUGCUGGAAGAAUACCCCGUCAGCCUGUGAUACCCGGGCGUCACUCUACAGCCAGAUCCCAAUUCAUCCAGAAGCUCCCAAGCCCGUCUUCGAUGCCCACGUGUCCUGGCCCUGGGGUCCACUCCUAUCUCGCACACGCCACCUUCUCCGUUCUCUGCACUGAGGCCAGUGCCUCGUCUCUGGCGAUUCUCCAGGACAGUCUAGUUUCUUCAUCCACAGGCAGGGAUCAGCACCUUCUGAGUAUGUGAGGACGCCAUUUGCAGAUCCAAAGUUCUCCUGGACACUCUCUCGCCUCAGGACUCUGAAUAUAAAGACAGAUACCAUAUGUUUUCAUCCUAUGUGGAUCCUGAGAAACUUAACA